GCGCCCGUAGCUCAGUGGAUAGAGCACUAGCCUCCGGAGCUAGGUGUCGCAGGUUCGAUCCCUGCCGGGCGCGCCA
rnacentral:tRNA from 3 species